rnacentral:rRNA from 1 species
AGAAUCAACGCUGGCGGCGUGCCUAACACAUGCAAGUCGAUCGAGAAAGUGGAGCAAUCCAUGAGUAAAGAGGCGCACGGGUGAGUAACACGUGACUAACCUACCCUCGAGUGGGGAAUAACCUGGGGAAACCCGGGCUAAUACCGCAUAACACCUACGGGUCAAAGGAGCAAUUCGCUUGAGGAGGGGGUCGCGGCAGAUUAGUUAGUUGGCGGGGUAAUGGCCCACCAAGACGAUGAUCUGUA